AAAAAUUCAGAAGAAAUAGGGCAUGCACAAUGUAGAUACUCAGUGCAUCAUAGUGCAAACAUCAAAAUGGCGGAGGUAAAGAAUGCAGAGGGAACAUUCACUAUAGAUGAGCAGAAGUUUCACAUGGAUUUCAGUGGACAACACAUCGUUACAGUAACAGAUCGAGGUGGCCACAGUAUGAAAUAUCAACUUUUCCGUGGAGUACAUCUUAUACCUAUGUAUAAAAUUGAAAUACUUCAACAAAUCCAAGGUUUCUGCAUGAGGCCAGAUGAUAUAUACUUCACCGGAUUUCCCCGUACAGG